rnacentral:rRNA from 1 species
GCUAGUCUCUGAGAUUAAGCCAUGCAUGUCAGUGAAGCCUUACGGUGGAACGGCGAACGGCUCAGUAAUGUUGCGGUAAUUUGGUCUCUGUGUGUAAACUAACCACGGUAACCUGUGGCUAAAAGCGGAGAAUAAGGCGCAACCCUAUCAGCUUGUUGGUAGUGUAAAGGACUACCAAGGCCAUGACGGGUAACGGGAAAUCAGGGUUUGAUUCCGGAGAGGGAGCCUGAGAGAUGGCUCCCACGUCCAAGGACGGCAGCAGGCGCGAAACUUGUCCACUCCUUACGGGGGAGACAGUCAUGAGACGUGAGUAUAAGACCUGAGUGUAAAGACCUUAGGGUGAAGCAAUUGGAGGGCAAGCUUUGGUGCCAGCAGCCGCGGUAACUCCAACUCCAAGAGUGUCUAUGGUGGAUGCUGCAGUUAAAGGGUCCGUAGUCGUGAAUGCAAUUAAAUGUCGUUGUUCAAUAGCGAUGAGUUUGCUAAUGUUUGCGGAACGGAUAGGGAGUGUAGUAUAGACUGGCGAAGAAUGAAAUCUCAAGACCCAGUUUGGACUAACGGAGGCGAAGGCGACACUCUUAGACGUAUCUUAGAUCAAGGACGAAGGCAGGAGUAUCGAAAGUGAUUAACACCGCUGUAGUCCUGCAAUAAACUAUGCCCACAGCCUGUGUGUGAAAUACGUGGGCGGGAAGAAAUCUUAUGUUCGGGCUCUGGGGAUAAUACCCUCGCAGGGUGAACUUAACCAAAUUGACGGAAG